UCCGAGUUGACCCCGGCAGUCUCCUGUGAGUCCCCACCAUUACGUGCUGACAACACAGAACGAGGGUUGCGCUCGUUGCGGGACUUAACCCAACAUCUCACGACACGAGCUGACGACAACCAUGCACCACCUGCACGCGAGCCCGAAGGCACAGAUAUCUCUACCUGCUUCCCGCGCAUGUCAAGCCUUGGUAAGGUUCUUCGCGUUGCAUCGAAUUAAGCCACAAGCUCCGCCGCUUGUGCGGGCCCCCGUCAAUUCCUUUGAGUUUUAGCCUUGCGGCCGUACUCCCCAGGCGGGGCACUUAAUGCGUUAGCUACGGCGCGGAAAACGUGGAAUGUCCCCCACACCUAGUGCCCAACGUUUACGGCAUGGACUAC
rnacentral:misc_RNA from 1 species